AUCUCCUGGCAGCCGCCAUGACGCCGCCGAGCUCCUCCGAAACUCACGAUGGAUGGAAACCCCAGGCGUGACGUCACGGUAGGAAGCUAUGGACGAGUUUGUCCCUCAGAUUUGGUCCUCUCCUAUACGUCACACUGGGGUAUGAUGGUAAUACGUCUCGCAGUUGUUCAUCACUGGAUUUCCAGAUCCUUCUGCAAUUUUGACUCCUGAUUUUUAAAAUCCGGAUGUAGUCCAAAGGUGAA